AUACGAAGGGGGCUAGCGUUGCUCGGAAUUACUGGGCGUAAAGGGAGCGUAGGCGGAUAGUUUAGUCAGAGGUGAAAGCCCAGGGCUCAACCUUGGAAUUGCCUUUGAUACUGGCUAUCUUGAGUAUGGAAGAGGUAUGUGGAACCCCGAGUGUAGAGGUGAAAUUCGUAGAUAUUCGGAAGAACACCAGUGGCGAAGGCGACAUACUGGUCCAUUACUGACGCUGAGGCUCGAAAGCGUGGGGAGCAAACAGGAUUAGAUACCCUGGUAGUCCACGCCGUAAACGAUGAGUGCUAGUUGUCGGCAUGCAUGCAUGUCGGUGACGCAGCUAACGCAUUAAGCACUCCGCCUGGGGAGUACGGUCGCAAGAUUAAA
rnacentral:rRNA from 1 species